AAACAGCAAGAAGUCCCCUAAACUGGGAAAGAAAACAUGUCAGCUUCUGUCCCAGAUUCUGUGAAAUGGCUGCAAACUCAGUUCCUGAUACAAACCCAUUGGAAACUUGUCUCAAUCUCCACAGGACUGUGAGAUAUCCCAUUCCAGCGGAGAGUCUGAGGUCCCAGCACACAGAACAAAUACUCAGACUUGAAGCAAAGACCAACAAAACUGUGAAGAUAAACAUCCCAAACUCCGAAACCACAGCAGAAGGACAGGAACUACUGUCAGAAUCUUACCCUCAGAGCUGAGACCAACAAGAGGCAACGCAGUUGGAGCCAAACCGUUGAACACAUAUCCCGCUGUUUGGACAGAGGGGAUUGGACAGCCCCUUGGGAGAGGAGUGUCGAUAUAACCACAGGAACCCAGCAGUGACCAGAAAUGAAUCAUCACUUCAACAAAGAGGCAAAAACAUUAAGUUUUGUGAUGUCACCUGGGCUCACCCCACAGACCCCAAUACUACCUACCCCACCCUGUUACACACACCCAGUCUCCCCCCCACCCCAAGUACCUCCCUCCAGGACUUCGCCCUGAGAAACUGUCUCAUCAGUACGUGGGAUAAUUGCUCCACAUUAAUAUGGUCUCCUUGGAAAUUAAACACAGACGAUGCCAAAUAUCAUCAGACGAUAUUAAUGAUUCAAUUACUUUUCAUCAGUUUCUGAUGACCUUUAAAGACACACAGAUGAAGACAUUCAGGAAAUCACUCAAGGCUUGGGUUAAGGUUCACGAUACUUUGAGGGGAUACUGAAGGCCAGAACUCGGAGAUGGAGUCAUCUCCUCCACCUUUCUGGCUGCUGCAUAUGUUCACACACACACACACACACACACAGGUCCUGGGGGCAGCAUUUGUCUCAAACAUGGACCCCAAGAGAGCUGGGUAUUCAGA